rnacentral:miRNA from 1 species
AUAAUUCAAGAUCAGUGAUCUCAAUGUUUUUAACAUUUUAACAUUUCUAAUGUUGAAAACAUUGAGUUCACUGAUCUUGAA